rnacentral:rRNA from 1 species
UACGUAGGGGGCUAGCGUUGUCCGGAAUCAUUGGGCGUAAAGAGCGUGUAGGCGGCUCGAUUAGUCCGCUGUGAAACUCCGGAGCUCAACUCCGGACGUGCAUAGGAUACUGGAGGGCUAGAGACUGGUAGAGGCGAGCGGAAUUCCUGGUGUAGCGGUGGAAAUGCGCAGAUAUCAGGAGGAACACCAAUUGCGAAGGCAGCUCGCUGGGACGCUACUGACGCUGAGACGCGAAAGCGUGGGGGAGCAAACAGG